rnacentral:rRNA from 1 species
UACGGAGGGUGCACGCGUUAUCCGGAUUCACUGGGUUUAAAGGGUGCGUAGGUGGGCAGUUAAGUCAGUGGUGAAAUCUCCGGGCUUAACCCGGAAACUGCCAUUGAUACUAUCUGUCUUGAAUAUCGUGGAGGUAAGCGGAAUAUGUCAUGUAGCGGUGAAAUGCUUAGAUAUGACAUAGAACACCAAUUGCGAAGGCAGCUUACUACCCGAAUAGUGACACUGAGGCACGAAAGCGUGGGGAUCAAACAGG